rnacentral:rRNA from 1 species
AGAAUGAACGUUGGCGGCGUGGAUUAGGCAUGCAAGUCGUACGGGCCGCAAGGCCAGUGGCGUAAGGGUGAGUAAGGCGAAGGUAACCAACCCCAUGGUCGGGUAUAGCCGCGGGAAACUGCGGGUAAUCCCCAGCGACGUCCGGGAGGGGCAUCCCUCCUUGACCAAAGCUCCGGCGCCUUGGGACGGGCCUUCGUGGUAUUAGGUUGUUGGCGGGGUAACGGCCCACCAAGCCGAUGAUGCCUACCGGGCGUGCGAGCGUGGCCCGGCACACUGGGACUGAGACACUGCCCAGACUCCUACGGGAGGCUGCAGUCGAGAAUCUUCGGCAAUGGGCGCAAGCCUGACCGAGCGACGCCGCGUGGAGGACGAAGGCCUUCGGGUUGUAAACUCCUGUCGAGGGGGAAGAAGCCGCAAGGUUGACUGAUCCCUGGAGGAAGCACGGGCUAAGUUCGCGCCAGCAGCCGC